CUCGACCGGUUCCUGGUGUCACUGUUCCUUUCAUAUUGUCCCCUAGCCAAGCCGGGUACAGAGGUUCGCACCCUGAAUGAUAUCUAUCCGGCUCAAUGGUAUUCUUCUCCAUGAUGAUUUUGCAUGCCACAUGUGUUGAGCUUGGCACUUGUAAGGGACCUCAUUAUCUUGAAAGUCUGCCCUGAAGUGACUUAUCUUAAAGACCCUUGGUACAACCUGCUUUCUACCCGCUUGCCUCAUAACUCGCAGGGGCAUAUGGAUAUAUUACUCUCAACCCAAUCAGCACCAAAUGCAGAGCAUCCUUGGACCUGACAAUGAACUCGUCUAUUGGAAACCACUCAACCAUCCACUAUUCUUGUCCCUUGGUCAAAUUGUUAAAGAACUCUACCCAUUCACUGGCACUUUUCGGCUGAGCAAAUUUAUCCGAAAUGCAGGUCAUUUCUUAGGGUGAUGGAAAGCAAUGUGGUCGUUCCAAGCCCUUCGUGAAAAUUCUUGGCAAUAGCGAGCCUUUUGGAGAUGCUCCAACAACCAUACUUGUAGCAAUAAAUUACAACCUUCGGAAUGCCUGACCCAUCUUUGACAGUGUUCCAGGGCCAUGUAGAUAUCAGCUAUGAUCAUGGGGACUAUGGUAUAGGUUUGUCCAUUAAUCCCCUCCAUGAAAGUUCUGGCGACCAUGGCCAACCU
rnacentral:lncRNA from 1 species